rnacentral:tRNA from 1 species
AGGGUUAUAGUUAAAAAUAACAUUUGAUUUGCACUCAAAAAGUAUUGAAUUAUCAUCAAUUUUCCUUA